CAGUAGGCCGCCGUAGUCCUCGGGCGCGUCGACGGGCCAGUAGCGCUCGCACUUCCUCUGAGGACGGACGGCAAACGCAAAGCUUUUGCACACUUGGGCUCAUGUCAAGUUUGAACGGCCAAGUCUCAAGUUGGAGGCACAACAGGUUGGUGAUCAUCACGAUGACGCCGACCUUCUGUUCCCAGAUCAUGCGCCAGAAGUCGUCCGUACUGGACUUGAGCGGCCCCUGUGCUGCGAUGUAGGCGUGGCGCAUCUUGAAGCCCUGCCGCGCACGGGAGAAGAAAAAAACACAAGAACAAGAUUUGGCUCUCCAGCCAAACCUGCAUUUGAUUGCUUGAGCAAUGACAACGUGGCUAAUGACAAAUGAGCUAACCGAGCGACGGGCAAACUUUUCAACCAAAGGCCGAAAGCGACGAGCGCGGGAAAAGGACGAGAAGGCGGCUCGGCGGAUGUCUCACGUACGUCCACAAAGUUAGCGUUGAUGUAAUCCCGUCCGUUGUCGGCCGCCGUGAGUCGCACUCGAGUAUGGUCGACUGAAAGGCAAAAAAUCCACUUGGCUUGAGUUUGCAAAGAAGAAGGGCAAAAAAAGCCGGGGCUCCCACUGACAGGCCAGGAUGUUGCUGUAUCGGUUCUUGCCGUUGUUGUCGGGAUGGCUGGACGUCUCCGAGGUCGUGGCCACGUCCGCCGCGCACGCCUGCACCUCCUCCCGCAGAAAAAAAAAUAAAAAAUUGGGUUGUGUCUUUAGGUCAGAGGUCAAUGUGAGCUGCUGCUGCGCUUUUGAGUUGGCCGAUUCCAAAUAUUGAAAAUAAAGGCCGUAAUGCAAGAAAA